rnacentral:rRNA from 1 species
UGGCUCAGAACGAACGCUGGCGGCAGGCCUAACACAUGCAAGUCGAGCGAGGACUUCGGUCCUAGCGGCGGACGGGUGAGUAACGCGUGGGAACGUGCCCCUUGGUACGGAAUAGCCCCGGGAAACUGGGAGUAAUACCGUAUGAGCUCUACGGAGGAAAGAUUUAUCGCCAAGGGAUCGGCCCGCGUUGGAUUAGGUAGUUGGUGGGGUAAUGGCCUACCAAGCCGACGAUCCAUAGCUGGUUUGAGAGGAUGAUCAGCCACACUGGGACUGAGACACGGCCCAGACUCCUACGGGAGGCAGCAGUGGG